GAUGAAGAACGCAGUGAAAUGCGAUACUUGGUGUGAAUUGCAGAAUCCCGUGAACCAUCGAGUCUUUGAACGCAAGUUGCGCCCGAAGCCACUAGGCCGAGGGCACGCCUGCCUGGGCAUCACACGUCGUUGCCCCCCCCCCAUCUACUCCUUCGGGAUUGCGGGGGGCGGAUGAUGGCCUCCCGUGCGCCUAGCCGCGCGGUUGGCAUAAAUACCAAGUCCUCGGCGACGCACGCCACGACAAUCGGUGGUUGCGAAACCUCGGUUGCCCGUCGUGUGCGUUCGUCGCGCAUCGAGGGCUCGAAAAAAUGCUCGGCUCCGGCUCGGCUUUCAACGCGACCCCAGGUCAGGCGGGGUUACCCGCUGAAUUUAAGCAUAUCAAUAAGCGGAGGA
rnacentral:misc_RNA from 1 species